rnacentral:rRNA from 1 species
UACACUCCUACGGGAGGCAGCAGUGGGGAAUUUUGGACAAUGGGCGAAAGCCUGAUCCAGCAAUGCCGCGUGUGUGAAGAAGGCCUUCGGGUUGUAAAGCACUUUUGUCCGGAAAGAAAUCCUUGGCUCUAAUACAGUCGGGGGAUGACGGUACCGGAAGAAUAAGCACCGGCUAACUACGUGCCAGCAGCCGCGGUAAUACGUAGGGUGCGAGCGUUAAUCGGAAUUACUGGGCGUAAAGCGUGCGCAGGCGGUUUGCUAAGACCGAUGUGAAAUCCCCGGGCUCAACCUGGGAACUGCAUUGGUGACUGGCAGGCUAGAGUAUGGCAGAGGGGGGUAGAAUUCCACGUGUAGCAGUGAAAUGCGUAGAGAUGUGGAGGAAUACCGAUGGCGAAGGCAGCCCCCUGGGCCAAUACUGACGCUCAUGCACGAAAGCGUGGGGAGCAAACAGGAUUAGAAACCCCAGUAGUCCCAUGAU